rnacentral:rRNA from 1 species
GAUGAACGCUAGCGGCAGGCCUAACACAUGCAAGUCGAGGGGUAGAGGUUUUCGGACCUUGAGACCGGCGCACGGGUGCGUAACGCGUAUGCAAUCUGCCUUGUACUGAGGGAUAGCCCAGAGAAAUUUGGAUUAACACAUCAUAGUAUUUUAGUGUGGCAUCACAUUAUUAUUAAAGGUUACGGUACAAGAUGAGCAUGCGUCCCAUGAGAUAGUUGGUAUGGUAACGGCAUACCAAGGCUAGGAUGGGUAGGGGUCCUGAGAGGGUGAGCCCCCAAACGGGUACUGAGACACGGACCAGACUCAUACGGGAGGCAGCAGUGAGGAAUAUUGGUCAAUGGGCGCAAGCCUGAACCAGCCAUGCCGCGUGCAGGAUGAAGCAUCUAUGGUGUGUAAACUGCUUUUGUACGGGAAGAAACACUCCCUCGUGAGGGAACUUGACGGCACCGUAAGAAUAAGGAUCGGCUAACUCCGUGCCAGCAGCCGCCGUAAAAC